UACGGGGGGGGCAAGCGUUGUUCGGAAUUACUGGGCGUAAAGGGCGCGUAGGCGGCCUGCUAAGUCGGACGUGAAAUCCCUCGGCUCAACCGGGGAACUGCGUCCGAUACUGGUUGGCUUGAAUUCGGGAGAGGGAUGCGGAAUUCCAGGUGUAGCGGUGAAAUGCGUAGAUAUCUGGAGGAACACCGGUGGCGAAGGCGGCAUCCUGGACCGAGAUUGACGCUGAUGCGCGAAAGCCAGGGGAGCAAACGGG
rnacentral:rRNA from 1 species